GGUAGCACUCAGCAGUUAGCAUUCAGCGAUCAGCAAAAGAGGAGAGAUCCUUGGGAACUGACGGCUGAUAGCUGAAAGCUGUGUGCUAUCAGCUAACUUAGUGGCGGACGGGUGAGUAACACGUAGGUAACCAACCCUAGAGCGGGGGACAACCCAGGGAAACUUGGGCUAAUACCGCAUAAGACCACGGACUGGGAGGUCUGUGGUAAAAGUAGCAAUACACUUUAGGAUGGGCCUGCGGCCUAUCAGGUAGUUGGCGGGGUAAAGGCCCACCAAGCCUAAGACGGGUAGCCGGACUGAGAGGUUGAACGGCCACACUGGAACUGAGAUACGGUCCAGACUCCUACGGGAGGCAGCAGUGGGGAAUUUUGCGCAAUGGGCGAAAGCCUGACGCAGCGACGCCGCGUGGAGGAUGAAGGUUUUCGGAUUGUAAACUCCUUUUGUAGGGGAAAAUAAUGAUGGUACCCUAUGAAUAAGCCACGGCUAACUCUGUGCCAGCAGCCGCGGUAAGACAGAGGUGGCAAGCGUUGUUCGGAAUUACUGGGCUUAAAGGGCGCGUAGGUGGUGGCAUAAGUCCGAGGUGGAAGACUAAGGCUUAACCUUAGAAUUGCCUUGGAAACUGUAUCACUUGAGUCAGCGAGGGGAUGGCGGAAUUCCAGGUGUAGCGGUGAAAUGCGUAGAUAUCUGGAGGAAGGCCGGUGGCGAAGGCGGCC
rnacentral:rRNA from 1 species